rnacentral:rRNA from 1 species
CCUACGGGAGGCAGCAGUGAGGAAUAUUGGUCAAUGGGCGAUAGCCUGAACCAGCCAAGUCGCGUGAAGGAUGACUGACCUAUGGUUUGUAAACUUCUUUUAUAUGGGAAUAAAGUGAGGUAUGUGUUCUUCUUUGCAUGUACCUUAUGAAUAAGGAUCGGCUAACUCCGUGCCAGCAGCCGCGGUAAUACGGAGGAUCCGAGCGUUAUCCGGAUUUAUUGGGUUUAAAGGGCGCGUAGGUGGUUUGUUAAGUCAGCUGUGAAAGUUUGUGGCUCAACCAUAAAAUUGCAGUUAAUACUGGUUGACUUGAGUAUAUUUGAGGUAGGCGGAAUGCGUGGUGUAGCGGUGAAAUGCUUAGAUAUCACGAAGAACUCCGAUUGCGAAGGCAGCUUGCUGGACUGUAACUGACGCUGAAGCACGAAAGCGUGGGGAUCAAACAGGAUUAGAUACCCCUGUAGUC